UACGUAGGGGGCAAGCGUUGUCCGGAAUCAUUGGGCGUAAAGAGCGUGUAGGCGGUUCGAUAAGUCGGCUGUGAAAGUCCAGGGCUCAACCCUGGGAUGCCGGUCGAAACUGUCGGACUAGAGUUCGGAAGAGGCGAGUGGAAUUCCCGGUGUAGCGGUGAAAUGCGCAGAUAUCGGGAGGAACACCAAUGGCGAAGGCAGGUCUCUGGGCUGACACUGACGCUCAUGCACGAAAGCGUGGGGAGCAAACAGG
rnacentral:rRNA from 1 species